rnacentral:rRNA from 1 species
GACGAACGCUGGCGGCGUGCCUAAUACAUGCAAGUCGAACGCAGUGGGGAUGGGUGAGUAACACGUGGGUAACCUCCCAUCAGAGGGGUUAACACUUGGAAAAAGGUGCUAACCCGAUACUGAUGGACGAACCCGCGGUGCAUUAGCUAGUUGGUGGGGUAACGGCCCACCAAGGCCACGAUGCAUAGCGGUCCGUAGGGGGUGAUCGGCAACCCGGGAACGGAACAACGGCCCAGCCGCCUACGGGGGGAGGAGGUAGGGAAUCUUCGGAAAUGAGCAAAAGGCUGACCGAGCAAGGCGGCGUGGGUGAAAAAGGUUUUCGGUUCGAAAAACUCUGUUGUUAGAGAGGCGGUAUCUAAACAGAAAGCCACGGCUAACUACGUGCCAGCAGCCGCGGUAAUAC